rnacentral:rRNA from 1 species
GAUGAACGCUGGCGGCGUGCCUAAUACAUGCAAGUCGAGCGAACGGACGAGAAGCUUGCUUCUCUGAUGUUAGCGGCGGACGGGUGAGUAACACGUGGAUAACCUACCUAUAAGACUGGGAUAACUUCGGGAAACCGGAGCUAAUACCGGAUAAUAUUUUGAACUGCAUGGUUCAAAAGUGAAAGACGGUCUUGCUGUCACUUAUAGAUGGAUCCGCGCUGCAUUAGCUAGUUGGUAAGGUAACGGCUUACCAAGGCAACGAUGCAUAGCCGACCUGAGAGGGUGAUCGGCCACACUGGAACUGAGACACGGUCCAAACUCCUACGGGAGGCAGCAGUAGGGAAUCUUCCGCAAUGGGCGAAAGCCUGACGGAGCAACGCCGCGUGAGUGAUGAAGGUCUUCGGAUCGUAAAACUCUGUUAUUAGGGAAGAACAUAUGUGUAAGUAACUGUGCACAUCUUGACGGUACCUAAUCAGAAAGCCACGGCUAACUACGUG